CUGUUUCUUGUGUUUUUUGCUGAUUUCAAGUUGAGCGGUACGAUGUAUGUGAAAGGUUUGUUUGUGCCGGUCCCGUGUAGGGGUUGUGCAGGUUGUGCAGGUUGUGCAGCCAUGGAGACGACGUGGCUAUUGUUGGUUGACCUUAAUGCAUACAGCAAUCGAGAGCCAUCCGAUACAUGGCAUCAGGGGACUCAAUGUGCAGCUUGUCAUACAGUUAUCGUCUUGGAUUAGAGACAAUCUCUUCCUGUAUUGAGUAAACCUGUUGGGCAAUAGAGAAAAGAAUGGAGUCUGUCCAUCUGCCGAAACCCACAGCAGAAAACUGGAAGAGGAUCAGUAGGCGGUUUGAAGAGAAAUAGGAUUUCCCAAACUGCUUAGGAGCGAUUGAUGGGAAAACACAUCAAUAUCACUGCACCAGCAAGAUCAAAGAGUCUCUUUUUCAAUUAUAAAGGGACAUUCUCGAUUGUGCUUCUUGCCCUUGUCGAUGCAGAGUACCGCUUUACUGCUGUACAGGUGGGGGAAUUCGGAAGAGCUAGUGAUGGUGGGGUUUACGCCUGCUCUGCACUGGGAAAAAGGAUGGCUGCAAAAACCCUGAAUGUCCCAGAAGACCUUCCUACCUGGUGCGGAGGAUUUGGGGAGAAUGCCAUACACCAUGAUCAGAGAUGCCGCAUUUCCCCUCAAGCCAUACCUAAUGCGACCCUAUGCCAGAAGACGGCUCCCAACUACACUGUAGUUCAAGAAGGUUGCAGUUCUGGAAGAUGAUGGGACUUGAGGCCAAAGGGUUCCUGGAUACUUACUGUUUAAUUCUUCUCAAGUCUCUUGUGGUAAAUUUGUGUAUUUUCUUCUCAACGCGUUUUUGGCGUCCCUGUGGACUCACACUCACAAAUCUCUUGAUUGUGUGAUGAUCAUGACUCAACAUCUUUGCAAUUUCAAGUGUUUUGUAUCCCUCUGAAAGCCAGUUAACUAUUUUUGCCUUUUCAUCAUCUGUCAGGUCUCUUUUUCGCCCCAUUUUCCCAGCAGCAAAAAGCUGCCUAAUAAUUAUGCACACCUGAAUUUAAGGCAUUCCUCACUUUAAGCCACACCCUCUCUCAAUAAAGCAAUUAAGUCACCUGAAAAUGUUUACACUAAGUGAAUAAUGAGGUUAAUAUGGUUUUCAGUUUAAUAAAAUGCUCUUGAAGAUGCUAUUUCAUUAGAAUAUGGACUUGCAUAAUAAUUAUGUACACAGUGUAUAGGCUUUCCAGGGCCUGCAUGUCGGCAGAGAAGGCUUUUGGCAUUCUUGCCUCCAGAUGGAGGAUCUUCUACCGUUCCAUACAAAUGAAACCAGCGAAGGUUGACAGCCUGGUGAUGCCAGCAUGCAUACUGCACAACAUGCUCACCAGGCCCAUGGAUGAUGAGCACUGGUUGAGGGAAGCUGCAGAGCCCCAGGGUGGUAUGAGGGGGAUUGAAGAUUGCCCCAACAGAGCUGGUGGGGGCCAUGGCAGCGCCUGAGAGAUUUGUGUACUACUUUGUCUCUGAAGCAGGCCAGCUAGACUUCCAGGACAGGAUGGUGCCGUAAAAAGCUUAAAUCAGGGGGUGUCAAGCUCAUUCCAUCGAGGGCCGAGUGCACGCAGGUUUUUGUUUUAACCAAUGCCAUAUACUAUCUGAUUUCACUAAUUAGUGUGAACCAAUUAGUGAAAUCAGCUGGUGUAUGGCAUUGGUUGAAACAAAAACCUGCAUAUACUCGGCCCUCGAUGAGUGACACCCCUGGCCUAAACUAAUCAUUCUUUGGCUACUGUUGAUUGAAAUCCUACAAGAAUUACAUCAUAAUAAAACAUUUAUUUUAAUA